AUUGAACGCUGGCGGCAUGCCUAACACAUGCAAGUCGAACGGUAACAGGGGCUUCGGCCCGCUGACGAGUGGCGGACGGGUGAGUAACGCGUAGGAAUCUGCCUGUUAGAGGGGGAUAGCCCGGAGAAAUCCGGAUUAAUACCGCAUACGUUCUACGGAAGAAAGGGGGCCUAUCCUUGGAAGCUCCCGCUAACAGAUGAGCCUGCGUCCGAUUAGCUAGUUGGUAGGGUAAAGGCCUACCAAGGCGACGAUCGGUAGCUGGUCUGAGAGGAUGAUCAGCCACACUGGGACUGAGACACGGCCCAGACUCCUACGGGAGGCAGCAGUGGGGAAUAUUGGACAAUGGGCGAAAGCCUGAUCCAGCAAUGCCGCGUGUGUGAAGAAGGCCUGCGGGUUGUAAAGCACUUUCAGUAGGGAAGAAAAGACUGCGGGAAAAUAAUCUCGUAGCCGUGACGUUACCUACAGAAGAAGCACCGGCUAACUCCGUGCCAGCAGCCGACGG
rnacentral:rRNA from 1 species